rnacentral:rRNA from 1 species
UAAAGUGCACUACGUGUAGUGUAUGCAAGUACCUUACGAAUAAGCAUCGGCUAAUUCCGUGCCAGCAGCCGCGGUAAUACGGAAGAUGCAAGUGUUAUCCGGGAUUUAUUGGGUUUAAAGGGUGCGUAGGUGGUCUAAUAAGUCAGUGGUGAAAUCUCUUUGCUUAACAAGGAAAUUGCCAUUGAAACUGUUAGACUUGAGAAUGGACGAGGUAGGCGGAAUUCGUAGUGUAGCGGUGAAAUGCAUAGAUAUUACGAAGAACUCCAAUAGUGUAGACUGCUUACCAGACCAUAUCUGACACUAAGGCACGAAAGUGUGGGUAUCAAACAGGAUUAGAUACCCUGGUAGUCCACACAGUAAACGAUGAAUACUAACUGUUUGCGAUAUACAGCAAGUGGUCGAGCGAAAGCGUUAAGUAUUCCACCUGGGAAGUAUGCCGGCAACGGUGAAACUCAAAGGAAUUGACGGGGGCCCGCACAAGCGGAGGAACAUGUGGUUUAAUUCGAUAAUACGCGAGGAACCUUACCCGGGCUCGAACGAUAUUUGAAUACAUCCGAAAAGAUGUAGCUAGCAAUAGCAAAUACCGAGGUGCUGCAUGGUUGUCGUCAGCUCGUGCCGUGAGGUGUCGACUUAAGUGUCAUAACGAGCGCAACCCUUACCGAUAGUUACCAUCAGAUAAUGCUGGGGACUCUAUUGGGACUGCCACCGUAAGGUGUGAGGAAGGAGAGGAUGACGUCAAAUCAGCACGGCCCUUAUGUCCGGGGCGACACACGUGUUACAAUGGGAGAAACAAAGGGUCGCUACCUGGCAACAGGAUGCUAAUCUCGAAAAUCUCUCUCAGUUCGGAUUGGAGUCUGCAACUCGACUCCAUGAAGCUGGAUUCGCUAGUAAUCGCACAUCAGCCAUGGUGCGGUGAAUACGUUCCCGGGCCUUGUACACACCGCCCGUCAAGCCAUGGAAGCUGGAAGUACCUGAAGUAUGUAACUAAAAGAGCGU